rnacentral:rRNA from 1 species
UGAGGAAUAUUGGUCAAUGGGCGAGAGCCUGAACCAGCCAAGUCGCGUGAGGGAUGACGGUCCUAUGGAUUGUAAACCUCUUUUGUCGGGGAACAAAGGCGCCCACGAGUGGGCUGAUGAGUGUACCCGAAGAAAAAGCAUCGGCUAACUCCGUGCCAGCAGCCGCGGUAAUACGGAGGAUGCGAGCGUUAUCCGGAUUUAUUGGGUUUAAAGGGUGCGUAGGCGGACAGUCAAGUCAGCGGUAAAAAUGCGGUGCUCAACGCCGUACAGCCGUUGAAACUGGCAGUCUUGAGUGGGCGAGAA